rnacentral:lncRNA from 1 species
CGAAAUUUAGCAAAAAGGAUCAAAUGCUCACUAGGAGACUCAGUGACCACUUUGGCUGCACCACCAAAAUCACAGGUACCACUUCGUCUAGAAUUCUUUUGAUAGUAGUUAUUGAACGCAUAUGAUGCAUGGGCCUCAAGUGUGUUUGGUUCGUAACACUUGGCACCAUUUUGAAUCGGACCGCAAUCAGCCCCGCCUUGACCACAAGCAUAAUCCAGUGCCUCCUGCAAAUUUUUAUUCCCGGCUACGCUAUUCGCUACGCACCAGGUUUGCUCCACCUUACUCUCUGAGGCUUCUCCCGUGGAGAAUUCACAGUUGCCAAAUUCUGAGAAAUGACAAAAAAUGAAAGGUACUUUUUUUGUUAAAUAAAAUAAUUAAGAUGCUAAAAAGACACUAUGCAGUCAUUAUCUCUGUAUUGUUUGUAGCAAAUGCCGUGCCUAUCAUUGAUUAUCAAUAAUUUAGAAUAAAAGAUUUUAUUACUCACUAGGAGAUUCUGUGAUUACUUUGGCUGCACCACCAAAAUCACAGGUACCACUUCGUCUAGAAUUCUUUUGAUAGUAGCUGUUGAGUGCAUAUGAUGCAUGGGCCUCAAGUGUGUUAGGAUCGUAACACGCGGCACCU